UGGAGUUUCCCGAGGCUGUGGUCUCCCAGGGAAGAGAUGAAGCCACUAAUAUCUACCCGGCUCCAGAUUUAACUGUUUGGAUGAAAAUGACGGUGUAGAACCAGGACAGCCCGCCAGCCACAGAGGAGCUCCCACUGGGAGCGCUCAUGUUUGUCUGAAGAAUACGUGUGCGGUGCGUUUUCCUAAGAGCACAGGAGGAGAUACGGAUACAGACCGCCUCCCUAAACCUGGAGAAGGCUCAGCUGCUUUACGCCUGGGAAAUGAAUACGCUAAUAACCAUUAUGAGAAGACAGCCUCGCCUUUUGGAGGACAAAUGCUAUGGGGUGGUGUAACCGCAGAGGCUCAAAUCCUGGCCCUGGCAUUUAGUGUGUAAGGCUUGCUACGUUCCUUCACCUUCCUGGGAAUCAUUCUCUCCAUUUGUG